CUAGAGUAGAAGAUAUAAAACCCAGAUCCGGUCCAGAUCCGGAUCUGGACCCGGUAAUAUUAAAUAUAUAAUAUUUUUAUUUUUUUAAUUUUAUCCAACCCUAAAACAUAAACUUCUAACUUUACAAUUCAAUUUCAAUUUCAAAACCCUACUUCUUCCCACCUGCGCCGCUCGCCUAUCCUCCACCCGCGCCGCUCACCCAACUUUCGGCCGGCGGCCGUCCACCUCCGGUAUCAGCCCCUCCGGCCUUCCCCACCCGAGAGGCUCUGCUGCAGAGCAGGUUCUCGGCAUGAGCAGAGCAAAGCAGCGUGAGCAGCAGCGCAAGGCAACGCCAAUCCAUCUACGGCCGCUCCAUCUCCGUCGACCUCCGGUCUCGGCCCUUCCCCCACCCGAAAUCUGUGGUCUCGGACUUGAGCGGAGGCUCUGCUGCAGAGCAGGUUCUCAGCGUCAUAGCAGCGCAAGGCAACGCCAAUCCAUCUACGGCCGCUCCUCUCCGGCCGCUGCUCAUCCUCUCAUCAGGAUGUUGAUGAUGUCGAAAGUAGCUGUAAUAUGAAAGACAUCUUUGAGGAUUACAGAAAUUGAUCGUUUCAAUAUUAGAAUUAUUAUGUUCUCAUUUUGGAUUAUUUGGUUUUAAAUGAAUUAUGAUGUUCUUAUUUAUUUUGGAUUGUUUAGUUUUAAAUGGAUUAUGGUGUAUUUUGUAUUCUUGAAUGAUUGUUGAAACUUUAGAUAAUUGUUAUGAUUUUUAUUUUAA